GUCUCCCUUGGAAAUCGUAAGGCGAAUAUUGGUGCUGGGAGGACAUGUUGCGCUGCAGCGGUGGAGGCGGAGGCGUUUUACACGUUGUUAAGAUGGGAGAUUCCAUUUCUGCUCAAAUCUCAAGGUUGAAGGAGAGAAAGUCCGGGUGUGGACAGGCAUCAGGCGUUACCCGCCAGACGGCGUGUUAAGAUUGAUUCAUUGUGCUCCAGCUCCACACAAGCCUGAAAGGGCUUGUUAUUACAUGACCUUUCAUUUCUCAAGCCUCUGAUGAUGGUAAGACAGCGGUCUGCAUGCAAGGUGACCUUGGACUGCUACCUGCUUUCCAGUGCCCACUGGGAGGGCCCUUUCCAUCUUAGCUAAGAAGCCAGAAGAGGUAUUUCACUCUGGUUUCCAGUAAUUUGUUCUGCUCUGUGAACUUCGGGGUCUGCCUGUCCGAUUUCAUGAAAAUUGGAUUACUGAGUGUUAAUUGGUGCUGAUGUGGCUGGUUUAAAAGGUUAUGGUGUCAAAUGGAAGAGGAGCAUCCUGGUUGGUGAUGGUUGGACGCAAGGCUGCUGGGAAUCAGGGUCCUGCAUGGAUGCCAAUAUCACGGGUUACCAUGGCAGCCUCUUCCAAGCUAUUCUUCUGGAAGAUGGUAUCCCCCCAGAGACCUUUGAAAGGAGCAAGGGCACGUCUUUCUUUAGAAUAAGGAGAGGAUUUGCUUCAGAGACUUGUAGGCUUGAGGAUUUGGUCAAGACAUUCAAAUCAAUUGUUCAUUCAUUCAUUCAUUCAUCAAAUCUUGUCCAAAUACCUGCUAUGUGUCAGCCUCUGUUUUUGGCUCUGAAGAACCAGUGGUGGAUAAAACAGAGUUUCUGUCCUCAUGAAGCUUAAUGUCCUAUCUGAGCUAAGGUCCAGCUCCAGAUAACUGCAAUCAAGCCAAUAUCGCAAAAAAGGAAGCCGCACACUGGUAUCCAAGGAAAAUGAUGCUACAGAAAUUGGAGAAAGAUGCUAUUCUUCUUUGCAGGUACACAGACACUGUGUCUUGUUUGUUUUGCUGCAAGUUAGAACCAUCCACCGUAAUUAGGUGUUACUUGGGCCAUUUAAAUGAGUGCUGUGCCCCGAAUACAAGGAUAAAAGGAGACAUUCACUGUGUUGUCCCAUAAGCAUAAUGACACCUAAUUAAGUGACGGUGAAAUCAUCACCAUCUAUACAGUAUUUAUGUAAAAGGAUUUGCUGAGGACCUGCCCAGAAUCCUUCCCCUUAGGGAGACUUCGAGGAGCUGAGUGGAGACAAUUUGGGCAUUUGAGGAGCAGAAACCAAUUGGACUGGCCAGCCGAGAAGCCACCUGAGCCUGGAGUUGGCUGCGGCCAGUGGAUGGACAUCUGUUGUUUUUGUCUGUUGAGCACAUCCUUGGGGAAAGGCUCCGCCUCCAGUCUGACCACGUGGUUGGGAUGGGGCUGCCACUCACAGUUUUUAUCCAACCACCUGGCCACAGGGGUGGGUAUACGAUCCAGGCUCCGCCAAUUAGAACGCUUUAUUUGCCUGGCUCCCGUGAUAGGUCCGGGGUUGGGCCUGUGACCCAAGCCGGCUUGCUGCAGCCGUCUCCUUUGGCAAUUAGAACAAAGGGUAUGGAUGUUUGUCUGUUCUGCAGCUUCAAGGAUAAGAAGCAGGGACUUGCUUUCUUUCUCUUUCACGUGGUGUCCACUGUCUGUAGGGAGGAGUAGAAUCAAACUGGGACCAGCAGAAAUGGAGAAAAAGGGGGCUCUGAGUAUCGAUGCUCUAGCUCCCAUUCUUGAGUCGCCUAGAGAUGUAUUCAUUCUUGUCCUUUGCAUUUUAAUUCCGUUCUCUUCUGCAGUUUCAUGAGCCAAGAGAUUGCCCUCUUGAGUAAACUUCUUUAAGUGGCUUCCAGGUGAGAACUCCCUGACUCACUUAGAUAAGAACAUCAGAAAUCAUAUUUGGAGAACAUUAUGUUGGAAGGAGCUGGAACCUCACAUGUUCUGUAUCAGGUGCUGGGCUUGAACUUAGACUAUGCACCUGCAUGUCUGAACUUGAACUUGAGCCCCCUUUUCCCAUUUGCCGGUUGAGGAGACUUGAGAUUCGUUACAGGAAAGAGCCUUACGAUGGUCUACAUUAAAUCAGUGGCACAACCAGGGCUAGAGAGGGCCUGGCUCUCCGGUCCUCAGCUUGGUGCUUCUGAUCAGGGUUGGGACAGGUGCGAUUUCCCGCAAGAGCAGAGGAAGAGACCAUCUUAAUACAGCAGACCGGGAUCAAGUCUCUGGCACUUGACCUCAUGCGGGCCAUACAUUCUUGUGGCUCCACCUCUACUUUUCCAUCCUUUUGACUUUCCAAGGUGAGGUAAGGGGUGAAUUAUUUUCAGUUUGGUCUCAUUCUCAGAGACUCAGCCUAGAACUCAACUCUCAGCACCCUGGCAGCCAGCGUCCCUCCCCCUCCCCCAUCAAUCCCACUACAGCCCCAGCUGCUUCCGUGGGAGGUGAGAGUUUUAAAGCACCGGUUGUCUGCACGCCUCCAGGAGCCACCAAAGGGAUUGGCUGGGCAGGGGGAAGAUACAGCUUAGACAAUUUCCACUCCCACUUCAACUGAAGCAGCCCUCCUGGUCCUCAAUUUCUUUCAUUUUGUUAUAUUAUUUUUAAUUGAACUAGCAUCAUUUAUGUUAGUUUCAGGUGUAUUGUCUAAUGACUUGACAUCUUCAUUCAUUAUGAAAUGAUCACCAUGCUGUGUCUAUAAGCAUCUGUCCCCAUACAAAGUUAAUAUGAUAUCAUUGACCAUAUUCCUUAUGCUGUAUGUUACGUCCCUGUGACUUAUUAUGUAACUCGAGGUUUGUACCUCUUAAUCCCCUUCACCUAUUUUGCCCACCCCCUUCUUUCUGAUAACCACCAUUUGUCCUCUGUUAGCCCCAGUGUCCAAGUCUCUUUUAUAUACUGGGGUUUAAGGCACAAUUAGAACGAGUUCC
rnacentral:lncRNA from 1 species